rnacentral:Y_RNA from 1 species
UCGGCGAAUGUCGGUGGAACUACAGACUGUCACUCUCCAGGUUGCGGGUUCGAGUCCCGUCGCGUCGUUGCCCUUUGGGGACCGGCGCGUAGCUCAAACGGAUAGAGCGGGAGUUUCACCAAACCCUUGUCGCCGGGAC